UCUACUUAUUCUCAUAACCUGUUUUACUAUCAGUAGGCCCCAUUGCUUCAUUAUCUUAUGAACAUUACUCCUUGUUGUUGCAGGUCAUGGAAGACUUUGUGAAAUCAGUUGCUGUCUACACAUGGUAUGCACAAAGGAGCUAGAAUGUCCAAUUUAUUGGGGAUAGAAUCAACGAAGGAACCAAACAUGCGACUCUUGUAUACAGAAGCCAUCUCAAUAUUAUACAGACAUAAAGAUCAAUUUGAAUUCACACCAUGAGCAGCAGCUGUAGAUCUGUUGGUUCCAAGAGUAGGCGAGUUGAUCGGUGGUGGUAGCUUAAGAGAGGAACGUCAUGAUGAACUCCAACAUAGAAUAAAGCACCUGGGACUACAGGAUUCUAAUUACCAAUGGUAUCUGGAUUUAAGACGCUUUGGAACAGUUCCCCACGGUGGCUUUGGACUUGGGUUUGAGUGCCUGCUAAGGUACUUACUUGGUGUGGACCACAUACGAGAUGUCAUUCCCUUCCCACGAUUCCCUGGCUCCCUCUCUGAUGGUAGCUCCGCGCAGCUGUCAAACUUCUUUAUGAGGACGUCUUCCGAUCGUGGUGUAAUGGUGCUGAUUUUACCCGACUGCUAAGAAAGGAUGAUGAAUGUCUGCUAGUCAACCAGAGGACAGAUGGCUUUGCAUCCUUGCAGAGGGACCUGGACAUGAGGAUCAAGGAAACCAGGAAGGGGGGUGUUUCACAAAGAUUUAAGUGUGAUUUAUGGGGUGUUGCAAGAAACUUGCAGUUGAUCGCAAGAUAGUUUUAGGACCACAAAUGAAGUGAAAGUUACCCUUUUCAUUGCAAUUUUGCAAUGAUUGCAAAUAUUUCCCUGCAACACCCCCUAAGAGUCGCACUUAAAUGUCAGUAGCGCACUUUAUGUGCACUACCGUGUGCUAGCGUUUAAGCAUGACUCCAAGUCACUCUUAUCUUUUGUGAAUCGCCCAUCAGGACCUAGGCCUCGCAUCAAACACAGGAAUCUGUGUUACGAAGAUCACUGUCCUACCAUUGCGCGCUACCAUUGGGAAUGUUUCUUGGAACAAGUAGUUAUUUUCACUGACUAAUUCUCUCUAAGCCAAUCAGAUGCAAGGAAUAUGGUAGCUUAUAACAGAAGUCAGUAAAGUCCAAGCGCACACUAUGCAAUCUGAUACAACACAGUUUUUUUAAUGAAUCGCAUUUUGCAUUAAAUAGGAAAGUGCCAAGGAGUAAAAGUAUUUCAUUUGAAGUCAGGCAUAUUGUUAGGAAUAAUAAAAUUAUCAUUUUGCUUUGCGGCAUGCUCUGUGGUCGGAGUAAUGUCUAAAUUGCCUUCAAGUCGCAUUCAAUUUCAAUAGUCCGACUUUACACGACUUUACAAUACAUAGAAAGAUAUUUAUUAAAAAAUCUAACUAAAAAAACAAUGAUUUUGGGGCAUUUCAUGUGAAGGCCUCCAAAUGCAGCCUUUUUCAAAAAAAAUCCCUGAAAUCUUGUGUAAAGUGAAUGGGCGCGUAGACAUGUGGCUCCAUUGUUUUGUUUAAUCUGAAAAUGACUUGCCGAUGUUUUUUCCAAGAAAAUCGUAUAUUUCUCUCAAAUUCUCAUGAGAUUUCAACUGUAAAUUUUCUUGAAAAUAAAGAAAAAUCAUGAUUAAUAUUAAUCAAAAAUGUUUAGGUGCGCAGACAUGGCUCCCCCCCCCCCCCUCAAUCAAAAGUGAAUGUAGUCUAACUACUUCAGACUCUGCAUCAUGCAUUCUGUGGAAAAUCAAAGGUCUUUGCCUGCAGACUACUAAAGGCUUUGAAGAAGUUAGUGCAAUAUUAUACAAAUAAUGCAUGGCUCAGUGCAUUGGGUCAGCAUGCGAUAACACAUUGUCUGGAAACCAAUACAUUUAUGUCAAUGGGUCAUCAUUGUUAUUGCCUUUUUGUGACCUUGGAUUAUCACAGUUUUAAGGGUAAAUGAAAAAGAGAAAAAAUUUGAUCUUUCAAAGUUGGAAAUUUAACACUCCUGGGGGCCGUUUCAUAAAGCUGUUCGUAAGUUAAGAGCGACUUUAAGAACGACUGGUGAUCCUUUCUU